rnacentral:rRNA from 1 species
UAGGGAAUCUUCGGCAAUGGACGGAAGUCUGACCGAGCAACGCCGCGUGAGUGAAGAAGGUUUUCGGAUCGUAAAGCUCUGUUGUUAGAGAAGAACGUUGGUAGAAGUGGAAAAUCUACCAAGUGACGGUAACUAACCAGAAAGGGACGGCUAACUACGUGCCAGCAGCCGCGGUAAUACGUAGGUCCCGAGCGUUGUCCGGAUUUAUUGGGCGUAAAGCGAGCGCAGGCGGUUCUUUAAGUCUGAAGUUAAAGGCAGUGGCUUAACCAUUGUACGCUUUGGAAACUGGAGGACUUGAGUGCAGAAGGGGAGAGUGGAAUUCCAUGUGUAGCGGUGAAAUGCGUAGAUAUAUGGAGGAACACCGGUGGCGAAAGCGGCUCUCUGGUCUGUAACUGACGCUGAGGCUCGAAAGCGUGGGGAGCAAACAGG